UUGCCCACAUUGUAAUAUAGAUUAAAAAUCGGGAGCGAAAACAUUCUCUAUACCAGUGAUCCCUGUAAACUUCAAGUACUCGAUAAAAUUCAAUCAAUCACGAAUUGACAGCUUUUACUAAAAAGUCGUCGAAUAAAGAAAAAAAAAAUCUGCGCGUCGGUUGACCCUGCGGGCCAGCCCCAAAACUUCCCGCUGUUUUCGACCUCAAAGAGCUCGAAAACAUUAGUGUAGAUAUAUUUUCGAGCUCUUCGAGUUCGAAAAUGCUAUCACAUGCAAUUGUUUUUUUACGAUCUUUUCAAGCUCUAACAAGUUACCUGUUAUGCUGAAGUUUGAAAAUUUAAGAAUCGAAAAUCAUCAAUGAAGCGGUUUUUAAAAUUUAGUUCCUGAUUACGUUUAGUAAAAUAAGUGUAUUGAGGCAAAAAUCAAUGUCGGGGAUCAAAAUCAAGAUUUAAAUAAAUUUUGACUCAUGUAAGAAACAACAAAAUAUGAAAUAUCCGAGAAAAAUAUUAAAAACUACAUUUUAUCGAUUUUUUUGUUGAUAAUAUGAUUUAAACUAAUAACCAAGUUCGAUGACAUUAUAUGAUCGAAAGAAACCAUAAGAAGGAUGAGUUGUUAUAAUUUCAGACACAUUUUGACGCCAGACAAGUAAAGUACUCAAGUUAUUUAUAAGGGUGCUGUGUAUAAGUAUACAUGUAUUUUGGUCAAUAGGUAAUAUCGUAUAAACAAUGUAUCAAAUAUUUAAUGCUUUAAAAAUGUCAUUACUCGAAAUAUUCUAUACCCGUACCUAAAUAAAAUGUAUUUUAUCCUAGAGAAAGCAGCAGACAUACACAGGUAUAAUUAUGUCGCCGGAUAUUCCCUUACCUUAUCCGCACAAAUCCUUAGGAUUAAUAUUAAAAUAAGUCUAAAUGGGAAAGUAAUGAACGAUGUAAAGUAGCCAUUGACCCUUACCAUAAAGAUCUAAUUACUGAUGGUACGGUGCAAAUGUCCCAUUGGAUCCAAAAUCCCCUCCCUGAAAUAUUGCAGUGCAUUUACACGUCGGUCCUUAAAAUUUCAACAUCAUUGAGUUUCAAACUCUAGCCAAGUUGUCUCUGGGUAUAACUGAAAUUUCAAACUCCAAAUUUUCAUAAUUGAAUCAUCAUGAGUGAUGUGAAGUGUUUAGUGUCGUCAAGCCCACAAUCUGCAACUGGAUUCAAACGGUGCGCCGAUAUUUUUGAUGUUGAGCAUGAUGCUCAAUACAAAAAACCUGAAAUUGAAGAAUCCAGCGAAGUGACUCCAUCCAACACUUCUUUGCCAACAUGUGGACUGGACGGUAAUUUAAACUUUCGUCCAGUGAACGUUCAACGAGUUAAAACGACCAUUAGUGUCAACAUAAAGACAAAAAUGGUGCCCAAGAAGAAGAUGGUUCGGAUGCCUCAACCAGUCGUUGCCGAGAAGGAAGUAGAACUGAUCACUGUUCCCAAGCAAGUGAAGCCAGAUCUUCAGCGGAGACGAUUGCGAGUGAUGCAGCCAGUUUCCAAAAGCCACGAGAUGUCUGGGCUUUGUUCCAUCAUGUGAAGAAACGACGUGCACAGAUAUCGUGUUAAUUUAUAAGUUAUGCAGUUAUCUUGCAGCCAAGAUGAGUUACAUUAAGUACCUCACAACAAGUCGUAACUUUGCUGAGGGUUGAUACUAAAAAAAGAAAACAAUAAAUUUUUGAAUUCGUCGUGAGUUGAAUGAUGAAGUUCUUUGUUGUGUUAUCGUUAAUCAGUAUCACUGAUAUCGUCAAGUCCCAGGCUGUAAGUACACUUUCUAAUAAUUAAUUUAAUAUAAUUUUAAGUUCAGUAGCUGAAGGAGUUCCCAUUGAGUUUUGAUAUUUUAUUUGAUUCUAUACAUUGAAGGACGAAGGCGAAAUUUUGGUUUAUGGUCCAGAUACUUCAGUAUAUUAUCCAGAGAUUCUACGCGAUAAUAUUAAAGUUUAUAUGAUUAGAAAUAUACAAUUCAUCCUAAGUUAUUAUUGAUGUAUCACGUUAUGAAUUAUGAAUAUGAACGAGAUCAAAAAUUUUUAGAACGAGCGACAAAAGUGAUUAGAACGAUAAAUUCAUAUUCAAAGGCUACCAAUUCAAAUCCACAUGUUGAAGUCUUAUUGUCUGGAGUCGUAUUAAUGAAUGUUGAAACUGAUCGACGAGAAUGGAUACAAAUGUACUCAGCAAUGUGAGAAUUAAGAAAUAUCACUCGUUGGGUAAAAAAUAAUGAACAGCAGUUUGAAGAUCUACUCUAUGAUUUAUUUAUUUAUACUGUUCCGCGAUUCCUGUGUGAUGACAAAACAGAACUUUUACAUUCAAUUCCAAGUCACUUGGUACCGAGCUUAUCAGAAGGAAUAGUUUGUUCGUCAAAGUCCGGCGCCGUUAUCGGUAAGGAGAUUGAAGAUGGCCACCCGGCCUAUGCGAUGGAGAUCUCAUACAUGUAUGUAUAUUCCUAUUUAACCACGUUUCUUUCCAACUGGAUCCUUAUCAAGAAUCUAGAACUAUUUAAUAGUAUCUUAUACAUCAUGUAAUAUCGGUAUUAAAAACGAUGCCACAAGAUUCAUCUGCAAGUCACUACAUACAUGCCAAAAAAUCAUCAUAAAUUGCAAUAGAUCAUCCAUAUCUAUUAUAUAAAAAUUUUUGAUGAUUUUUUGCCAUAUAUCUGUGAUGUACUAGUAACUUUCCCUAAUAAUCAAUGGAAUAAUAAUUAAUUAUUAACAAUUAUAUAAG